GGGGUCGGGGUGGGCGGACGACGGUGAAAGCGAAUCUGAGUCGGUAUUCGCGGGCCUAUAAAGCGAAAUUAAAAAAGGAAGAUGAAAAAGAAGAUCCAACUUAACCUCUCUGCAUGGACCUCUAGAAAAUACACGGUUAUGCCACCAACUGCGUGUAACAUUUUCGUGUUACCUUUCUAAAUAGAUUUUCUCGUCGAUGAAUAAUGCAAGAGCAAAUAGAAAUUUACCAGGUGUCGGACACACGCAUACCGUCCGCUUAUUCCGCAAUGUUCGGAUCUCAAUUCCACGGAGAUAAUCCUGAAAGCAUCUUUGAAGAGGAUAGGAGGGGAUUCCAUUAUCGAUGCAUACCGGCUCACCCAAUAAAACGUUGGUAGCUUACAGCCCUGGCUCGUCAUUCUGCACGUCCGUGGAUGGAACUCUUGGAGAAAAGCAAGAGAUGCUGCAGUUCACUCUCCCGCCCUCUCUCUCUCUCUCUCUCUCUCUCUCUCUCUCCCCGUGUUUCUCUCUUUUUCUCUGUCUCUCAUCCAGCACACUCUCUUUCUCGACUGACCAACAGCAACGGAAUAAAUAAAGUAAAUAGAGGAAUAUAGGAGGUAAAUAAAAAAUGUGGCAGCAGAUAGAGGG